CAGUCGCCGCGGGAAUACGAAGGGGGCUAGCGUUGUUCGGAUUUACUGGGCGUAAAGGGUGCGUAGGCGGACUGAUAAGUCAGGGGUGAAAUCCCAAGGCUCAACCUUGGAACUGCCUUUGAUACUGUUAGUCUUGAGUUCGAGAGAGGUGAGUGGAACUGCGAGUGUAGAGGUGAAAUUCGUAGAUAUUCGCAAGAACACCAGUGGCGAAGGCGGCUCACUGGCUCGAAACUGACGCUGAGGCACGAAAGCGUGGGGAGCAAACAGGAUUAGAUACCCCAGUAGUCCCUGUCUCUUAUAC
rnacentral:rRNA from 1 species